AGAACUUUGAAGAGUGAAGUGGGGAAAUGUUCCAUGUGAACAUCACUUGGACAUGGCCGGUUAGUCGAUCCUAAGAGAUGGGAAAUCCUUGUAUCAAGGGUGCACUCUGCAUGAACAUCAAAAGAGAAUUGGGUUAAUAUUCCUGGUUCGUGGUGGACGACAAUGUUAGGAAAUCUGGAUAUGUCAUCGGGGGCUAGGGAAGAGUUAUCUUUUCUUUUUAACGACUUUCCCACCCUGAAAUCAGUUCAAACAGAGAUAGGGUCCAACAUCUGAAAGAGAACCACACAUCUUGUGGUGUUUGGUGCCCCCUCAAUGACCAUUGAAAAUAUGGAGAACCGAGUACCAUCCAUGCCCGAUCGUACUCAUAUCCGCCUCCUUGGAUUUUUCAAUGUCC
rnacentral:ncRNA from 1 species